rnacentral:rRNA from 1 species
UACGGGGGGGGCAAGCGUUGUUCGGAAUUACUGGGCGUAAAGGGCUCGUAGGCGGCCAACUAAGUCGGAUGUGAAAUCCCCAGGCUUAACCUGGGAACUGCAUCCGAUACUGGAUGGCUUGAAUCCGGGAGAGGGAUGCAGAAUUCCAGGUGUAGCGGUGAAAUGCGUAGAUAUGUCACAGAACACCAAUUGCGAAGGCAGCUUACUAUGGUUAGAUUGACACUGAGGCACGAAAGCGUGGGGAUCAAACAGG